UACGGAGGGUGCGAGCGUUGUCCGGAAUCACUGGGCGUAAAGGGCGCGUAGGCGGCCCGAUAAGUCGGAUGUCAAAUUCCGGGGCUCAACUCCGGGGCGCCAUCCGAGACUGUCAGGCUCGAGCACGGCAGGGGCGAGUGGAAUUCCCGGUGUAGCGGUGGAAUGCGUAGAGAUCGGGAAGAACACCCGUGGCGAAGGCGGCUCGCUGGGCCGUUGCUGACGCUGAGGCGCGAAAGCGUGGGGAGCAAACAGG
rnacentral:rRNA from 1 species